GGAAAAAUCUUACAGGAUCCAGAACAAACAAACAAACAAAAAAAAAAAACCCUCUUAGAAUGAAUUUUACUUUUGAAGUAAUGGUUUAUAUUUUGAAAUUGUAUUUAAGAAUCCUAAAAAUUAAGGGUUGAGUUCUAUCAUAACUUUCUGAAAGGACACUGUUAAAAUACUGCUCUGUGCAUAUAUGAAGCUCAGAAUAGUGAGCUUAGUUUAAUUAUCUCUGAUCAUUUUUGGUCCUGCACAUACGGAAUAUCUCUGUUAAGAGGAGGAGACCGUGUCAUAUCACUGGGUAGACAGGUACCCAUUACCUUAGCAAGUAUGUUUAGUGCUCAGUGAGCGUUUCAGACACUGUCAAGCUUCUGCUGCACAAAAGCUCCAAUGGUAAUAUGUUAUAACAGUUGAGGAAGAACUUAUGUGCUGUUUAAUGUUCUCUGAAGCCUGUGUAUGCAGUCUCAUCCUGUUUUCAGUGAGGGCACUUGAUUUAUGUCUCAUCACCACCAUUCCUAUUGAAAAUGUUGCUCAAAGACUCACAUGGUGCAAAUAGUGUGGUAUGCCACAUUUUCAUGUAAGUGCAGUAGUAUCACACAGCCUGAUGAUGGGAUAGGAAUGUUCUAGUGUCACUUUCUUAGUUGAUGCUGUUUGGUGAAAUGGUUAUCUGUGUUUUAUUCAAAAGGCUGGUGAUAUUGAUGUACUUAGUGAAGUAUCUUUUAUUUUUAUUUUUCUUUAGGAAAAAUAUCUAGGAAAACAUGAUAUGAAAAUUAUAUUCACUUCAUUGUAGUGUAGCAUUUUCAUGUAUGGCAGUGCCUGUGUGAAGGAGUUGUAGAAAUGCCCUGUCC
rnacentral:lncRNA from 1 species